GACGAACGCUGGCGGCGUGCCUAAUACAUGCAAGUAGAACGCUGAAGAGAGGAGCUUACUCUUCUUGGAUGAGUUGCGAACGGGUGAGUAACGCGUAGGUAACCUGCCUUGUAGCGGGGGAUAACUAUUGGAAACGAUAGCUAAUACCGCAUAACAAUGGAUGACACAUGUCAUUUAUUUGAAAGGGGCAAUUGCUCCACUACAAGAUGGACCUGCGUUGUAUUAGCUAGUAGGUGAGGUAAUGGCUCACCUAGGCGACGAUACAUAGCCGACCUGAGAGGGUGAUCGGCCACACUGGGACUGAGACACGGCCCAGACUCCUACGGGAGGCAGCAGUAGGGAAUCUUCGGCAAUGGGGGCAACCCUGACCGAGCAACGCCGCGUGAGUGAAGAAGGUUUUCGGAUCGUAAAGCUCUGUUGUAAGUCAAGAACGGGUGCGAGAGUGGAAAGUUCACACUGUGACGGUAGCUUACCAGAAAGGGACGGCUAACUACGUG
rnacentral:rRNA from 1 species